AAUAGGAAAUGCGUGUUUAAUAAGGUCUUCUCUCUGCUCCGGCAGGGUUGCAUGGCGAGCCGUCUGAUAAUCACUGUCACUGCAGAGGCUAUAGUCGAGACAUACUUUUUUUGACGUCAGUAUCAUGAGCGACCAUGGAGGAGACAUACCACUUCAAUCAUCUAGCUGUUGAAUGCGUUUCUCACCGAGCGAUUAACUGCGGCGGCUGUUGAGAUAUUUGGGGCAGUGGAAAAAACGAUAACCGAGUACCAGGAAGAAAUCUCCAGUUCAAAGGAGGAGAUCGAUCGUCUACGAAGGCAACUGCACAUCGUUACCCAACCGAAGAUAAAGUUACAUAAAUCAGAUACCCAGCAGCUCACUCUCCCUGACCCUGACGAGGUUCCCCUUGAGCAGCAGCACCGUGAGAAGGAGUGGAGCCCCAGUCUGGACCAUGAGGAUCCAGAGCCCACACAAAUCAAAGAGGAACAGGAAGAACUCAGGACCAAUCAGGAGGAAGAGCAGCUUCAGGGGCUGGAGUCUGAUACCAAUAUUCUAACAUUUUCUCCUCCCUUUGUGAAUAGUGACUGGGAUCAGGAUGACCCACAUAAGUCCUCCCAACUUUACCACAUACAAACUGUAGAGGACAGAGGGAGGGACUCACUACCUACCAGCACAAUUGAAGAGAUCAAAAUAGAACCUGAUGAAGAGGGUUACAGAGUAUCAGAGCCAACCAGUGUCUCUCAACCCCUCUCUGUAGUAACCCCUUACAGCUCUGUGAGCACAUUAAAUAUGAAUCAGCUAAUUGGCAAUGCAGAAUCAGACAAACCAUUUCAGUGCAAUGUAUGUGGCAAAUUCCUCAAGCGGGAGAAAAGUCUUAUUGUGCAUAUGAUGGGUCAUGCAGGAGAGAAACCAUUUACAUGUCCUUUAUGUAACAAAGGCUUUGUUGCGGUAGGCACUUUAAAGACGCAUAUGAAACUUCACACAGGGGAAAGGCCACACCGGUGCCAUGUUUGUGGAAGAUGCUUUAAACUGAAAGGAGCCCUGACGGAGCACAUGAGGAUACACACUGGGGAGAAACCAUUUAGCUGCCAUGAUUGUGGCAAAUGCUUCAGUCGGACGAAUGCCCUUACAAAUCACAUGCUGCACAUUCACAAGAAAAAAAGAACUUACAAGUGACCUGUGGAGAAAGAGUCAGUCUGAAAAGUAGCCUUCGAUCUAUAUGGCACACUCAAGCCCUUUAAUUGAAUAAAGUAUGGGUAAAUAUUUGAAGGAAUAAACGCAUGGACCAUUU